CAAUAGCUACUUGCAUCAUACUAGAGAUGAUGCAAGAUCGACUAUGUCGAAUAAAAUUCUAGGUAGAAUUAUGAUAAUGACAUUGUCUGCCUAUGUGUCUUGACCAAAUUACGUGCCAGCAGUCGCGGUAAUACGUAGAAGACUAGUGUUAUUCAUGUUUAAUCGGUUUAAAGGGUACCUAGACGGUAAAUCAAGCCUAAAACUAAAAAAAAUAAAUGAAGGGACUAAUUUACUAGAGUUACUUAUGAGGGGGUAUUAAAGUACUGCUGGUGUAGAGAUGAAAUUCUGUCAUACCUCUUUUCAAUAGAAAAACAAUGGCACAGGUAUAGGCGAAGGCAUCCCCUUAUGUGAUAACUGACGUUGAGGGACGAAGGCUUUGUGUAGCGAACAGGAUUAGAUACCCCAGUAGUCAAAGCAGAAAAUGAUGAAUGUCAUAGAUUAGAUAUAUAAGUUUAUUCUAUAAAUGAAAGUGUAAGCAUUCCACCUCAAGAGUAAUUUGGCAACAUUGGAACUGAAAUCAUUAGACCGUUUCUGAAACCAGUAGUGAAGUAUGUUGUUUAAUUUGAUGAUCCGCAAAAAACCUUACCACAAUUUGAAUAUUUAUAUCUUUUAUUGUUUUUUCUUCUUAUUAUUCAAUUAUUGAAGAAUAAGAAAAAUAGGCAAUAAGCAAU
rnacentral:rRNA from 1 species